UGGAUAUCACUUUAAUAUCAAAAUGAUUAAUCCAUUGAAUGUUGACAGGAGCUGGACUCGACCUAGCGGCGCACAAAACAGAAGUCGUCCUAGUAAGCAGUCGCAAAAAGUGGAAUCUGCCGAUAUAAAGAUAGGAAACGUCACCAUCGCAUCAAAGAGGGCGAUAAAGUAUCUUGGCGUCAU